rnacentral:snRNA from 1 species
GUGCUCGCUUCGGCAGCACAUAUACUAAAAAAUUGGAACGAUACAGAGAAGAUUAGCAUGUCCCCUGCACAAGGAUGACACGCAAAUUUGUGAAGCGUUCCAAAAAAAA